rnacentral:rRNA from 2 species
GGACGGGUGAGUAACACGUGGGCAACCUGCCUGUAAGACUGGGAUAACUUCGGGAAACCGGAGCUAAUACCGGAUAAUCCUUUUCCUCUCAUGAGGAAAAGCUGAAAGACGGUUUACGCUGUCACUUACAGAUGGGCCCGCGGCGCAUUAGCUAGUUGGUGAGGUAACGGCUCACCAAGGCGACGAUGCGUAGCCGACCUGAGAGGGUGAUCGGCCACACUGGGACUGAGACACGGCCCAGACUCCUACGGGAGGCAGCAGUAGGGAAUCUUCCGCAAUGGACGAAAGUCUGACGGAGCAACGCCGCGUGAGUGAUGAAGGUUUUCGGAUCGUAAAACUCUGUUGUUAGGGAAGAACAAGUACAAGAGUAACUGCUUGUACCUUGACGGUACCUAACCAGAAAGCCACGGCUAACUACGUGCCAGCAGCCGCGGUAAUACGUAGGUGGCAAGCGUUGUCCGGAAUUAUUGGGCG